rnacentral:lncRNA from 11 species
GAGGACAGACAGGACAUUGGUCUUCAAAGAUGUGGUUUCCUGGCUUAUUCAGUACCUCUGCGAAGUUGAUAUGAAGAGAUGCAGUCAGAUAGCUAAGUCGCAGUGGCGCAAUGGGUUAAAUCCUUGUGGCAGCUGAGCUGCUGAUCUGAAAGUUGGGUUGCUGACCUGAAGGUUGCUGGUUCGAAUCUGCGAGACACGGUGAGCUCCUGUCUGUGAGUUCUA